rnacentral:rRNA from 1 species
GUAGGUCCCGAGCGUUGUCUGGAUUUAUUGGGCGUAAAGCGAGCGCAGGCGGUUAGAUAAGUCUGAAGUUAAAGGCUGUGGCUUAACCAUAGUACGCUUUGGAAACUGUUUAACUUGAGUGCAAGAGGGGAGAGUGGAAUUCCAUGUGUAGCGGUGAAAUGCGUAGAUAUAUGGAGGAACACCGGUGGCGAAAGCGGCUCUCUGGCUUGUAACUGACGCUGAGGCUCGAAAGCGUGGGGAGCAAACAGGAUUAGAUACCCUGGUAGUCCACGCCGUAAACGAUGAGUGCUAGGUGUUAGACCCCUUUCCGGGGGUUUAGUGCCGUAGCUAACGCAUUAAGCACUCCGCCUGGGGAUACGACCGCAAGGUUG